rnacentral:rRNA from 1 species
AGAGUUUGAUCCUGGCUCAGGACGAACGCUGGCGGCGCGCCUAACACAUGCAAGUCGAACGAGAGAGAAGGAGCUUGCUUCUUCGAUCGAGUGGCGAACGGGUGAGUAACGCGUGAGGAACCUGCCUCAAAGAGGGGGACAACAGUUGGAAACGACUGCUAAUACCGCAUAAGCCCACGGGUCGGCAUCGACCUGAGGGAAAAGGAGCAAUCCGCUUUGAGAUGGCCUCGCGUCCGAUUAGCUAGUUGGUGAGGUAACGGCCCACCAAGGCGACGAUCGGUAGCCGGACUGAGAGGUUGAACGGCCACAUUGGGACUGAGACACGGCCCAGACUCCUACGGGAGGCAGCAGUGGGGAAUAUUGCACAAUGGGGGAAACCCUGAUGCAGCGACGCCGCGUGGAGGAAGAAGGUCUUCGGAUUGUAAACUCCUGUUGUUGAGGAAGAUAAUGACGGUACUCAACAAGGAAGUGACGGCUAACUACGUGCCAGCAGCCGCGGUAAAACGUAGGUCACAAGCGUUGUCCGGAAUUACUGGGUGUAAAGGGAGCGCAGGCGGGAAGACAAGUUGGAAGUGAAAUCUAUGGGCUCAACCCAUAAACUGCUUUCAAAACUGUUUUUCUUGAGUAGUGCAGAGGUAGGCGGAAUUCCCGGUGUAGCGGUGGAAUGCGUAGAUAUCGGGAGGAACACCAGUGGCGAAGGCGGCCUACUGGGCACCAACUGACGCUGAGGCUCGAAAGUGUGGGUAGCAAACAGGAUUAGAUACCCUGGUAGUCCACACCGUAAACGAUGAUUACUAGGUGUUGGAGGAUUGACCCCUUCAGUGCCGCAGUUAACACAAUAAGUAAUCCACCUGGGGAGUACGACCGCAAGGUUGAAACUCAAAGGAAUUGACGGGGGCCCGCACAAGCAGUGGAGUAUGUGGUUUAAUUCGACGCAACGCGAAGAACCUUACCAAGUCUUGACAU